AAGAUUCCCUGAGUUAUUGCACCAGCUACCAAAAAACAGAUAAGCUUUAUGGUGGCAGGGACAGAAGUCCUGCUACAGGCUCUUCUCAUGAUGUCCUGGUUCCUGCAGCCUAUCCAGAUCUGCCUGUAGCAACGCUUUUCCCAAUCCUACAGCACUCUGUUGAUAAAAGAUGCUGUUGUGUCAAAUCAUCCAUGCUGUGAACUGCUUUGUUUGUUUACUGUGUGGCAAAUUUUACAGUCAUCUGUCCUUAUGGAGGACAGAUGACUGUAAAAGGGGGCUGAGUUGCUGCUCCUAGACCAACCCACUGGAGAACAGACGUGCAGGCAAUUAAAUGGUGCAUUGGCAGAACUUUGACCUGAUCCUGACCCAUUUUCCAGGGGUGACAUUUACAGAUGGAUUAUUUCUGCAAGCAAGCUCAGGCUGUGAUCACCCUGGGAGCUUUUCCAGCAGGCUGCAUGGUCUGGCUUCCUUGGUGACACCAACAUUGAGUUCAUCAUCUGUACAGGCUUGAGCCUGUACGGAGACAACAUGAAAACUACUAUAUGGAAUGGCCAACAUGUGUCCCUUCCUUAGCAGAACCCGUAAGUUUAUAAUACACAGGGAAAUUCAGAGUGGUAUAAACUGGCAGAUUUCCACAGGAUUGUGAUUCACACCAGGAGGUGUCAGUAUUGUUUGGUUUAACCUCUCUCCAGAUCCCCAGAUACACUUUUUCCUGGUUUCUGUGAUUUCUGCUGUGGCAUCUCCAAGGAUCAGGCUCCCCAGAGUCCAUGCUGCUCCCUUUGGCAGGUGUUUAGCUGCCAGGAGAUAGGGAUAGCUUUGGGCUCCUGGGCUCUUGCAGAUGCUGAUCCUUUAUCAGGCUCAGACUGUGCUCUCCCUGUGGCUUGGGAGCACAGGGCACUGGGUGCAGGCUGGAGGCUGGAGAGCAGAUCUAAGUUGAAGGCAGCAGUGGAAAGAAGGAAACAAUCCUGGGGUGCCGGUGUUUACCCUGAGAAAAGAGAACAGCUUUAGGAUCAAAACACAAGCCUGCUCCUGAUCCAAGCUAUCCUUUCUGAGCAGAAUUUGCCUGCAACCCAUUUAGGCCAGGAUCUUUGGCCAAUCACAGCCAGAACCAGACAUCCAGAGGGGGACUGCAGGAGAUUCCUGCAUCAUGGAAGAAGUCCUUCUUUGGCUCAUGGUUUUUCAGGAGCAGUUAAAUGCUGAAGAAAACUCUGAAUACUCUUGAUAUCCAUCUAAACAGAUAUGACUUAAUUAAAUCUCAUUAUAUAGUGAA